AUUGAACAUAAGAGUUUGAUCCUGGCUCAGAUUGAAUGCUGGCGGCAUGCUUUACACAUGCAAGUCGGACGGCAGCACAGGGAAGCUUGCUUCUCGGGUGGCGAGUGGCGAACGGGUGAGUAACAUAUCGGAACGUACCGGGUAGCGGGGGAUAACUGAUCGAAAGAUCAGCUAAUACCGCAUACGUCUUGAGAGGGAAAGCAGGGGACCUUCGGGCCUUGCGCUAUCCGAGCGGCCGAUAUCUGAUUAGCUGGUUGGCGGGGUAAAGGCCCACCAAGGCGACGAUCAGUAGCGGGUCUGAGAGGAUGAUCCGCCACACUGGGACUGAGACACGGCCCAGACUCCUACGGGAGGCAGCAGUGGGGAAUUUUGGACAAUGGGCGCAAGCCUGAUCCAGCCAUGCCGCGUGUCUGAAGAAGGCCUUCGGGUUGUAAAGGACUUUUGUCAGGGAAGAAAAGGCCGUUGCCAAUAUCGGCGGCCGAUGACGGUACCUGAAGAAUAAGCACCGGCUAACUACGUGCCAGCAGCCGCGGUAAUACGUAGGGUGCGAGCGUUAAUCGGAAUUACUGGGCGUAAAGCGGGCGCAGACGGUUACUUAAGCAGGAUGUGAAAUCCCCGGGCUCAACCCGGGAACUGCGUUCUGAACUGGGUGACUCGAGUGUGUCAGAGGGAGGUGGAAUUCCACGUGUAGCAGUGAAAUGCGUAGAGAUGUGGAGGAAUACCGAUGGCGAAGGCAGCCUCCUGGGAUAACACUGACGUUCAUGUCCGAAAGCGUGGGUAGCAAACAGGAUUAGAUACCCUGGUAGUCCACGCCCUAAACGAUGUCAAUUAGCUGUUGGGCAACUUGAUUGCUUGGUAGCGUAGCUAACGCGUGAAAUUGACCGCCUGGGGAGUACGGUCGCAAGAUUAAAACUCAAAGGAAUUGACGGGGACCCGCACAAGCGGUGGAUGAUGUGGAUUAAUUCGAUGCAACGCGAAGAACCUUACCUGGUUUUGACAUGUGCGGAAUCCUCCGGAGACGGAGGAGUGCCUUCGGGAGCCGUAACACAGGUGCUGCAUGGCUGUCGUCAGCUCGUGUCGUGAGAUGUUGGGUUAAGUCCCGCAACGAGCGCAACCCUUGUCAUUAGUUGCCAUCAUUCGGUUGGGCACUCUAAUGAGACUGCCGGUGACAAGCCGGAGGAAGGUGGGGAUGACGUCAAGUCCUCAUGGCCCUUAUGACCAGGGCUUCACACGUCAUACAAUGGUCGGUACAGAGGGUAGCCAAGCCGCGAGGCGGAGCCAAUCUCACAAAACCGAUCGUAGUCCGGAUUGCACUCUGCAACUCGAGUGCAUGAAGUCGGAAUCGCUAGUAAUCGCAGGUCAGCAUACUGCGGUGAAUACGUUCCCGGGUCUUGUACACACCGCCCGUCACACCAUGGGAGUGGGGGAUACCAGAAGUAGGUAGGGUAACCGCAAGGAGCCCGCUUACCACGGUAUGCUUCAUGACUGGGGUGAAGUCGUAACAAGGUAGCCGUAGGGGAACCUGCGGCUGGAUCACCUCCUUUCUAG
rnacentral:rRNA from 1 species